rnacentral:rRNA from 1 species
CAGUAGCCGCGGGAAUACGGAGGGGGCUAGCGUUGUUCGGAAUUACUGGGCGUAAAGCGUGCGUAGGUGGUGGUUUAAGUCCGUUGUGAAAGCCCUGGGCUCAACCUGGGAAUUGCAGUGGAUACUGGGUCACUAGAGUGUGGUAGAGGAUAGUGGAGUUUCCGGUGUAGCAGUGAAAUGCGUAGAGAUCGGAAGGAACAUCUGUGGCGAAGGCGACUAUCUGGGCCAACACUGACACUGAGGCACGAAAGCGUGGGGAGCAAACAGGAUUAGAUACCCCUGUAGUCCCUGUCUCUUAUAC